GAUGAAGAACGCAGCGAAAUGCGAUAAGUAAUGUGAAUUGCAGAAUUCAGUGAAUCAUCGAAUCUUUGAACGCACAUUGUGCCCGCUAGUAUUCUGGCGGGCAUGCCUGUCCGAGCGUCAUUUCAACCCUCAAGCCCCCGGGCUUGGUGUUGGGGAUCGGCGAGCCUCCGCGCCCGCCGUCCCCUAAAUCUAGUGGCGGUCUCGCUGUAGCUUCCUCUGCGUAGUAGCACACCUCGCACUGGGAAACAGCGCGGCCACGCCGUUAAACCCCCAACUUCUGAACGUUUGACCUCGGAUCAGGUAGGAAUACCCGCUGAACUUAAGCAUAUCAAUAAGCGGAGGA
rnacentral:misc_RNA from 1 species